ACUUAUAAAAAAUAUUUUUUUAAGCUGCUUAGUAUGUGGGAUCUUGAUUCAUUUAAAGCAAAUAGGUGAACUAAAGUAAAAUGAAAGAGACUCCAUUGCCAGAAGAGAUGAUCUGCAAUCCACAUUCCUGAAGGAUUUUAUGGGAAAAUGCAAAAGUGUGUGUGUGUGUGUGAGAGAGAGAGAGAGAGAGAGAUAUUUUCAACACCAGAACAUCCUUUUUCUUGUCUCCUAAGUGGCAUCCUGUUAAAUCUUGGAAAAUAUAAAUGUUAGAAUGGAAACCAUAUUGGAGCCCAGUUUGGACUCAGAGGUAUUCUGUAGUAUCAAAUGUGGAUUCUCCUACUGCAUUUUCAAAUGCCCCAGUGAAACUUUCUGUGGAUGAGGCUCACAGAAGAGCGAAGCAAAGAUUCUUAUGUAGAUUUUCUUAUUCUUGAAAUUUAGGUUGUAAUAUGCUCACAAAUCCGCCAGGACUGCUAGGACAUUUACAUCGGCACAGAUCCCCCUCCAGGGAAAAGAACUUGAUGUAUGGAAAAGACAGACACAGAUAUUAAAGCCCUCUUUGGAAAAGAAGUGGGGAAGAAUUGCAUGACAUGAGAGAAAACUGCUUUUGGAUAGUGAUAAAGGGAUUGGCUUAGAGAACUGCACAAAAAUAUUACUCGGUGUUUGUUUGUUUUUUUUUCAUGCAAGGAAUCACAAAAUGAAUUGUGUCUUCAGAAGGCAAUUUGAUCUGUAAUGCCUUCAGCCAUCCUAAGAGCACUCUUAAGAAAGUAUGUAAAAGAACACUGGAAAUCUUCUUACAUGGGUUCUGAGGAAUAAAUACCUUUUUUGGAACUGAGAAACAUCUUAGAGACCCAGCCACUGUCUUAAGAAGAAGAAGCCAAGGAUGGGUGAAAAAGCAACGUGUGCGUACGUGUGAGUUCAAGACUGAAGAUCUGGCCCCGGCUGCACGCGCUACAGUAAUGGACGGACUGCAGGUCAAAUAAAGAGACACUCAGAGUUAAAGGGAAAGGAAGAAAAUUCCUUUGGAAAAGAGUGGGAACUCUUGGUAGUCACGGACAUAAGAAGAAAUAUAAUUUUUCACAGGAAUGGCUAAUUUCAAAGGGUUACUGAUCUUCCAUUGGGAACUGCGGCCUUCAGAUCUGUAGCCGUCCUUCGGAGAAAGAAGAUAAGUAGCAACUGUUAUUGAAUUUCUGAUUGUGUAAUGUAGUACAUCAACUAUCAGUGCUAAAAAGCAUUAACUAUUAAUAUUUCCUGCCAAUUCUGGAAGCAACAAAAUAGAAAAAUAUACCUUUGUUCUUUUAAUAUUAAGCUAUGAUAUUAAAAUAGUCUAACUUUGUAAUUCCCUUUAGUGCUGAGGGUAGCAGUUCAUUAAUAUGACUGUGAAUUGUCAUCAGGGAAGUGCUGUUUUAGAGUCCAGCCCCUUUAGAAAAUGAAAGGAUGGAACAUCGGGACAGCAAGCAAAACUCAUGGCUCUUCUGGGAAAGCCAGGCUACAAGGCCAUCCCAAUUCUACCUGACAAUGAGGAGGAAGGAGAUUCUCAAGGGAUGAAACGAGAUUAACUACACGUGGAAUUCAGGUGGGAGCUACACGAAGGUUCAUGAUGCUGUUGUUGGCACACAGGGCACAGUCCGAAGUUUUUAAGGUGUUGGAAAUCACGCCUGACCUGUGUUGCCGUCUUCCCUUAUCUGCAACCCCCCGAAGGCUGUGGGCUGUGCUCUGCCUCGACCCCUACGUUGCUUUGCGUUGAGUGGAAGCUCCGCAGACCUCGUCUGACGACUGGAUUCCUGGUUGCACGGGGUACGCCCUGGUCGCAAGGCCUUGGGAAGAGAGGGCACAGAGGUCGUGCUCUAAGCACAGCUGCGUCUCAGUGUUUCGUGCUCUGCAGUAAGCUGCUGCUCCACUUUUUCAAACAGCAGGCAGAGGUGCUGGGACACCUUCCAAUUCUGUAUUCCUGGCUGUGACAUUUCCUCCGGCAGCGAGCAGUCCCAUAGCCGCAUAUUCUGUCCACUUCAAAUUCACUUCUCACUAGACAACAGGGAUGUGGGAGCAAAGUGGUGUUUCCGGGCUUUGUCUAACCUGUGUUCCAGAACGAGGAGAGCUUAUUCUAGAACUUCUUGGUACACAGAUUAACAUCGGAGUCAGAAGAUUGCUGACAUCUCAGUCUAACUGAAAUUUCCUUAGCAGACUCUAAAGACACCUGCUAGUCGUGUUGUUAAUAAAUUAUGGUUUUGCCUACUAAAUUCACUGCAUUCCUCUUGAUCCUAAUCCUCUGACCUGAUAUGAAAAGUUGUAAAAUUUAGAAGGAUGGGUAGGCCCCCUUUCCGUGCAGAGCAAAGCUGUUCAGAAGGAGGCAGAUGGGAGAAGCCACCUCGUUCCACAAAAUCGACGAAGAAUACCUGCAGCUGCCCUGCAGUGGAGUAAGUAUGGCUAGUGGGUCCCCAUCGCUAAGGAGUCCGAGAGGAACUGCCACCAUGGGCAGCCGGGGAUCAGUGACAUCUAAGAACCCUGAUUUCUGCCUUUGUCUUCCUCCCUAGAGCCGUAAGCCUCACAGCUGGGAGGUGUGUGUGAGGACUGCCACUGCAUUUUACUAAUGGAUCCAAUGAAGACAAAGCGGUAAAGGCCGGGAUUGAAGAAGGUCGCUGAAUCCUUCAAGAUUUUUUUUUUUCUAAAUCAAGUUUUUCUCCCCACCUCUCAUCCUCUGCCACGGUGUAUAUUUCCAGCUGAGAGCCUCUUUUUACCUGGAGGAUCUUGGGAGAGCAGAAGAGAAAUGGCUAAGAGCAGCCCAGGGAUCCUCAUGGCGCGAGGGCUGCUGGACUGAGCAGGGGCAGGUCAGAGGGAAUCACCCCUGGGCAGGACAGGGCAGUUGUUUUUAUGGGCAGUGCCGCUCCUGAUUACUGAAGCUUAUCAAGGGCCGGCGUUGCCUGGAGCACCAAGACACAGGGGGAGGGGACAGCGUGGGGGCAUUAGAAGUUUGAGUUCAGCAGAGUUCAGGGCAGGGAGCGUGAGUGUCGUGUGGGAAGUCCAACAAGAAUUGGAUCAGAUGAUCUCUGAGAUACCCUUCAGCCUCGACAUUCUCUGAUUCUGGUGAAAGGACUUUCCGUUCUGUUUCAGUUAAACUGGUAUGAAAUUGCUCCAGAUGGAUAUCAGUCAGGAGCUUCUUGUCAAAAAUAUCGGUGCAGGUAAGUGGGGCUAAAGUCCAUCCCCCCCAAGAUGCCUCUGGAAUAAACACAUAGGAAUAAAUAAACACGUAGUGUCAAAAAGAAGCGUGGUGUGGGAUGCGAGGAGGUCAUGAAUGCACGAGGGUCUCAGCACCUUUCUGGGACAGAAAGGGUGUGGGGUGAGAAUGCCAAUAAGUGACAAUAGGGAAUACUUCAUGGUUCGCAUCGUCAGUCAUCAAAGGGGGCGAUGUCUGGCCACAGAACAGCAGACUGGGUUGGAGCUCAGAACAAAAAAAAGGGGACAAGAGUGAGAAGAGAGGCUAAAAGGGGAGGACUUAUUGAAAUGCUGUAUUUCUAACAAUGGCACCAAAUCACAUGUGACCUUACUCUUUACCCUUCCAGAGAGCAUACGCCUUUGGAUGUAAUCCCCACCUCCACCCCAGGCAAAACAGACAGAGCGUAGGCUCCCAGGAUUUGCCCUUAGGGAAAACACCAGAUAAUUCAUUUUAAGGAAAAUUUAUGAAGUAUUUUAGAGGAGACGAAAAUGUCCAGUUUUGAAAGUUGACAUUCUAGAAUAAGCUCUCCUCGUUCUGGAACACAGGUUAGACAAAGCCCGGAAACACCACUUUGCUCCCACAUCCUAAGCAAAAGCAAGCGGUCAGUGUGUCCCGAUCAGAGCUCCCACUUAGGUUCUCCUUACACAGGAACAGGAUAGACAAUCAGAGAUCACCACGUGUGCCAGUUCUGGUUCUCCAAGAAGCAGAUAGCAACAUGAAGUAGAAAGGAAAUGAAUUUAUUGGGGAAUGCCUACGAAGGACAGAAGAGACUCCUGCUGACUGGAGAAAGAGCCAAUCCAAAAAGGUUAUAUACUGUAUAAUUCCACUUAUAUGACAUUUCUAGAAGGACAAAGCUAUAGAAAUAGAGAACAAGUUAGUUGUCCCAGCGUAAAGAAGGAGGUGGAGGUGGGAGGGAAGUGGGCGUGGCUCUAAAGGGUAGCACGAGGAGUCCUUGUGAUGAGGGAAAUCCUCUGUAUCAAUGUCAAUAUCCUGGCUGUGAUUUUCGCUAUAGUUUUGCAAGAUGUUGCUAUUGAGAAAAAUUUAGUAAAAGAUCUGGGAAUCUCUGUG